AUGUAUAACAACUACACCAUACAAAUACAAGACUUGUGAAAUUAAAACAACUCUUACAACUCACGACACGACUACACAUCCACAUACAAAACCCUAACUUCUUUUCCCCUCCUCAUUUCAGUGCACACCAUCAGACUUACCUCCCCUGCUCCCCCUUCUUCUUCGAUUUCAAAACCACAACCACACACCCACCUUCACACCUGAAUCCCUCAUUUCACCGGCGACUAGCAGGUGUCGGCGCAACUCAGGCCACCGGCACCCCUCCUCCGACGCGGCACUACCCCACCCCCACUCGUUUCAUCGGUCAAAAAGACACCACCACCCGACGGUGGUGGUGAGCGGCGGCAACGGGAUCAAAGAGACGAGAGAGAGAAUGGAGGCCGGCGACGGACCGGCGAAGGUUACCGGCGUCGCUGCCGGUGAUGUUGAUGAAGAUGAUGUUGACAACGACGUGAUUCUCCGGUAAGUAUCUAAUAUUCUUCGAUUCCUGAUCGGAAAGCAUGAUUCCCUCACAUUUCUCCUUGUUCUCCCGAGUGAUGGUGGUCGACAGCGGCGUACAGCCGUCGGAAUUAAUGGCGGUGGUAGUGUGGUGGUUAACUUGGGUCAGGUUCGGGUCAACGGUUCAAGUUCGGGAUACGGUUCAGAUUUAAAGAUCAGUUCGAUGUUCGAGUCAACUCAGGCAAUACGGGUCAACUCAGUGGUACGGGUUAACUUAGUUCGAGUCUCGGUUGACUCGGUCAACUCCGGGUCAACUCAGACAAAUUUUGGUCAAGGGCAGUCAACUGGCUUCGUUUCGGGUCAGCGCUAGUCAACUCGGUCAAAAAAAAAAGACGGUCAAACUCGGUCAACUGGGGUCAAACUCAGUCAACUCGAGACGCGGAAUACUAUAGAUGCACGCUAGCGAGUUCACAUUCUUGGAACGACAUCACGGAAUCACGCUAAGCUAGCUUUGCACAGGAAUGUCAAGGAAUACUAUAGAUGCACGCUAGCGAGUUCACAUUCUUGGAACGACAUCACGGAAUCACGCUAAGCUAGCUUUGCACAGGAAUGUCAAGGUUGCAUUUUACAAACUACGGAACGGUUGGAAUAGAAGAACCCAUGGGAAUUCGAGUACUUAGUGGCUGUUCACUUUUAGAAGUCUUAGCUCAAAUACUUCCGCUGUGCAAUGAAGAUACCAGUCCAGUCACGCCAGCUCUGAUAUUUCGGGGUGUGACAG
rnacentral:lncRNA from 1 species